rnacentral:tRNA from 1 species
GGGGAUGUAGCUCAAUUGGUAGAGUGCUAUGUAUUGCAAGCUAGAGGCACAGGGUUCAAUUCCUUGCAUCUCCA